UUGCCUACGGGACGCAGCAGUGAGGAAUAUUGGUCAAUGGGCGCGAGCCUGAACCAGCCAAGUCGCGUGAGGGAAGACGGUCCUAUGGAUUGUAAACCUCUUUUGUCGGGGAGCAAAAGACGCCAUGCGUGGCGUUCCGAGAGUACCCGAAGAAAAAGCAUCGGCUAACUCCGUGCCAGCAGCCGCGGUAAUACGGAGGAUGCGAGCGUUAUCCGGAUUUAUUGGGUUUAAAGGGUGCACAGGCGGAAGAUCAAGUCAGCGGUACAAUAGAGAGGCUCAACCUCUUCGAGCCGUUGAAACUGGUU
rnacentral:rRNA from 1 species